rnacentral:misc_RNA from 1 species
UCUCCGUAGGUGAACCUGCGGAGGGAUCAUUAAUGAACGGCCGUCGGCCUUCAAACCCAUGAACCGUGGAAGUGAACCGUGCUUCGGCGCCCAGCGUCGGACUUCAUGCCAGAUAUGUCGUCGUCUGAAUCUGAACCACAGAUCAAAACUUUCAACAAAGGAUCUCUUGGCUCUC